rnacentral:rRNA from 1 species
AAACUUAAAGGAAUUGACGGGGGCCCGCACAAGCGGUGGAGCAUGUGGUUUAAUUCGAAGCAACGCGAAGAACCUUACCAGGUCUUGACAUCCCGAUGCUAUUUCUAGAGAUAGAAAGUUACUUCGGUACAUCGGUGACAGGUGGUGCAUGGUUGUCGUCAGCUCGUGUCGUGAGAUGUUGGGUUAAGUCCCGCAACGAGCGCAACCCUAUUGUUAGUUGCCAUCAUUCAGUUGGGCACUCUAGCGAGACUGCCGGUAAUAAACCGGAGGAAGGUGGGGAUGACGUCAAAUCAUCAUGCCCCUUAUGACCUGGGCUACACACGUGCUACAAUGGUUGGUACAACGAGUUGCGAGUCGGUGACGGCGAGCUAAUCUCUUAAAGCCAAUCUCAGUUCGGAUUGUAGGCUGCAACUCGCCUACAUGAAGUCGGAAUCGCUAGUAAUCGCGGAUCAGCACGCCGCGGUGAAUACGUUCCCGGGCCUUGUACACACCGCCCGUCACACCACGAGAGUUUGUAACACCCGAAGUCGGUGAGGUAACCUUUUGGAGCCAGCCGCCUAAGGUGGGAC